AUGCCCACCUCAUCACGUUAGCCGGGCUGAGUUUUCAUGACAGUCCAGGGGAGGGCGACAGGACCAUCUUGCUGUAGACCCAGCACUUCGACUCAGUUUCCAUGAAGCCACGGUUCUUAGCCCAGAGCCUUUCUUAAGACAUGUCGUUCAAUGAUGCACCGUCCCACCCUAAAACAAAUGCGAACCGGCACUGCUUUCCUGAGAAGAGUGUGAGGAGACAAAACCCUAGAAAGAGCUGAGGCUUGCAAAAACUUACUAAGGACAAGAAAAAAGGGCUUUUUGAGCUAUGUUUGGAGCCAGAAGGAAAAGGAAGGGAUUGGGAACAGAUGAUGCAAUUCGAGCAGAUGACAGCAAGAAAGCAGAAGUUCUCCACUCAAAUUUUGCUUCCACCUUCUCCCCUAAGGAACGCGAUGUAAAGCCGGAAAGGAUCAAGCCUGCAUUGUGAAGAAUGAAUUAAGCAUUAAUUUUGGAAGAGGAAUUCAGGGUGACUGCGUACACUGGGGGGAGGUGGGGAUGACUCAGAUGGCUCCUGGGACCAGGAAGGCAAACUGCAAGAGUGAGGCGGGUGCAGCUGUGGCUUCUGAGGAGACCAGCGGGCUGGGGAGCACAGCUGAGACAGAAAGGGGCCAUCUCGUCUGUACACUCUCCCAGGCAAGCCAGACCCUGACGGGUUUUAUACUCAAAUUGCCCCAGUUUUAAAUGCCGGCAUGAAAUUCAGGAUUUGUUCAAAAUGCUGUGCAGACCCAAAGAAUACUCAUCUGCAGAGGAGACUCAGCCCAAGGCUGACAUUUUGGAAAUUUUGGUCUAAGAUAAUUCAGCUCCGCAGGGCAUCUGGUAGAUACAGCUUCAACGAAUACUGCCAAUGGCGGACAGUAAAAAAACCAGGUCCAUGACAGGUCACGGGAAAAUGUUGUCCAAGGUUUCUGAAAGGGUCAAGGAGGAUCCUCAGAAGUAGACUAGCCCUUCACCUUGACUUUCAGAAAAUUCAAGAACAGGUUACUGAGGAUAGAAAAUACUGGAAGAAAGGCAGGCAUGGGGCCCAGUUGCCGCUAUGGCUUAAGAUCAAGGCUUUUAUAAAGGACUAGCAGACUGGGAGUUCAAGGAAAUGGUGUAGAAAUGGCUUAAAAGGCAUGAGACAACAUCUCAGCCAGGAGAAAUUUGGCCUAGUUCGCAAAGAGUCGGACACGACUGAGCGACUGAACUGAACUGAACUGAACUGACAGUAAGCGGAGGUGAAUCUGUAGCUGGAUAACCAACCAUUCAAAUCUCACAGACCAACGGCCACCAGGAGCAAGUGCUUAGAAUCAUUUCACAGGAGGCCAGCGUUUUACGUGUUUUCAUUAACUAUUUGGAUGAAGAAGUGAACAGAGUAUGUCUUAAAAACAUACUUGAGAACAUACAGUCUUAUUUUUUAAAUCAGAUGACUUGUGCUUACAUUUCAGCGUCACUGUUGCUGGCUGCAUAGCCUUGGCCAACCAACUUUCUCUCUCUGAUUUUUAGUUUUCUCUCUAGCAAAGUGGAAGCCAUAAUGGGUUCUAGGUCUAGUAGGUGCUGUGAGAAAGAAAUGGGUUGACGCAAGUGCGGGGCUUCAUUUUCCCAGGGGAAACGAAGAUCUCCUGGACCUGGCAAAGAUGUUCUCUGCUG
ensembl:lncRNA